AUUGAACGCUGGCGGCAAGCCUAACACAUGCAAGUCGAACGAGUGGCGGACGGGUGAGUAAUGUCUGGGAAACUGCCUGAUGGAGGGGGAUAACUACUGGAAACGGUAGCUAAUACCGCAUACCAUCGGAUGUGCCCAGAUGGGAUUAGCUAGUAGGUGGGGUAAAGGCUCACCUAGGCGACGAUCCCUAGCUGGUAUGAGAGGAUGACCAGCCACACUGGAACUGAGACACGGUCCAGACGCCUACGGGAGGCAGCAGUGGGGAAUAGUGCAAAAGGGGCGCAAGCCUGAGGCAGCCAUGCCGCGUGUAUGAAGAAGGCCUUCGGGUUGUAAAGUACUGUCAGCGGGGAGGCGUUACCCGCAGAAGAAGCACCGGCUAACUCCGUGCCAGCCGCCGCGGUAAUUC
rnacentral:rRNA from 1 species